GAUGAUGAUGCAUCUGCCAGAAGAGCUGAAGCAGAGAGGAAACGCGCGGAGGACAUUGCUGCAGGGACAGUGCCAAUGAAUGGCCGAGAGCUUUUCGUGCACGAACCUUGGGUUUUUGAUAACACUAUUUAUUGAGGUCAUGUACCAAAACCCUGAUGGAGUCGAGAGCUGUGUAGCAGAAUUGACACACUGGGGAUAGAAGAGAGCAGCUGGUUGCUGGUUGAGGUAGGAUGGCCUCUGGUUCUCACCACCUAGGCCUGCCAUCAUCUGCUCAUAGAAAACAAGUUGUAUACAACAGUAGUAUCAAUUUGAUCAAAUUUCUUGGUGAAGUAAAAUGAAACUGAAAUUGUUUGGGAACCGAUUUCCGCACAUCCAUUUUCUCUUUCUGCACACUUCUGUUCGUUUCUGUCUAUACCUUCUCUUUUGUAAUUCAGUCUAAUGACCAGAAAUAAACAGAGCAGUGUGUGCAGGAGGAAUCGAGUGGGGAAAUCACUUCUCAUUUACGCUAGUGUUUGAAGGGUUUAAACCGAGAGCUCACUGUUCUUGUUCCAUAUUGAUUGGGCCCCAAAGUUAGAGACCUAAGCAUCAAUAAAUUUUUCAUAAAAUCAGAAAUUAUGCUUAGAAAGUUAUUCCAAUGAAUUUUUGUUGAAAA